AGCAGCCGCGGUAAUUCCAGCUCCAAUAGCGUAUAUUAAAGUUGUUGCAGUUAAAAAGCUCGUAGUUGAAUUUCGGGACUAAUAUGUCGGUCGUACUUUGUACGUACUAGCAUUAUUGGUUUCUCCCUUCUGACGAACCACGAUGUCAUUAAUUUGGUGUCAUGGGAAAUCAGGACUGUUACUUUGAAAAAAUUAGAGUGUUUAAAGCAAGCUCGCGCUUGAAUACAUUAGCAUGGAAUAAUGAAAUAGGACGUUUGAUUCUAUUUUGUUGGUUUCUAGGAUCGACGUAAUGAUUAAUAGGGAUAGUUGGGGGCAUUAGUAUUCAAUUGUCAGAGGUGAAAUUCUUGGAUUUAUUGAAGACUAACUACUGCGAAAGCAUUUGCCAAGGAUGUUUUCAUUAAUCAAGAACGAAAGUUAGGGGAUCGAAGACGAUCAGAUACCGUCGUAGUCUUAACCAUAAACUAUGCCGACUGGGGAUCGGAUGAUGUAAUUUUUAAUGACUCAUUCGGCGCCUUAAC
rnacentral:rRNA from 1 species